rnacentral:rRNA from 1 species
GGACAAUGGGGGCAACCCUGAUCCAGCCAUGCCGCGUGAGUGAAGAAGGCCUUCGGGUUGUAAAGCUCUUUCGGCGGGGAAGAAAUGGCAACGGCUAAUAUCCGUUGUUGAUGACGGUACCCGCAUAAGAAGCACCGGCUAACUACGUGCCAGCAGCCGCGGUAAUACGUAGGGUGCGAGCGUUAAUCGGAAUUACUGGGCGUAAAGCGUGCGCAGGCGGUUUCGUAAGACAGACGUGAAAUCCCCGGGCUCAACCUGGGAACUGCGUUUGUGACUGCGAGGCUAGAGUACGGCAGAGGGGGGUAGGAAUUCCACGUGUAGCAGUGAAAAUGCGUAGAGAUGUGGAGGAAUACCGAUGGCGAAGGCAGCCCCCUCGGGUUAGUACUGACGCUCAUGCACGAAAGCGUGGGGAGCAAACAGGAUUAGAUACCCUGGUAG